rnacentral:rRNA from 1 species
CUACGUGCCAGCAGCCGCGGUAAUACGGAAGGUCCGGGCGUUAUCCGGAUUUAUUGGGUUUAAAGGGAGCGUAGGCUGGAGAUUAAGUGUGUUGUGAAAUGUAGACGCUCAACGUCUGACUUGCAGCGCAUACUGGUUUCCUUGAGUACGCACAACGUUGGCGGAAUUCGUCGUGUAGCGGUGAAAUGCUUAGAUAUGACGAAGAACUCCGAUUGCGAAGGCAGCUGACGGGAGCGCAACUGACGCUGAAGCUCGAAGGUGCGGGUAUCGAACAGGAUUAGAUACCCUGGUAGUCCGCACAGUAAACGAUGGAUGCCCGCUGUUAGCGCCUGGCGUUAGCGGCUAAGCGAAAGCAUUAAGCAUCCCACCUGGGGAGUACGCCGGCAACGGUGAAACUCAAAGGAAUUGACGGGGGCCCGCACAAGCGGAGGAACAUGUGGUUUAAUUCGAUGAUACGCGAGGAACCUUACCCGGGCUUGAA